UAAUAAUUGCUUGUUUGAUGCUUAAAUUAUAAGAACUCAUGUCUCGAGUUAAUAAAAAUUAUUCCUAGUCAUAUUUCAUGCAACUUUGGAUUUAGAGAUCGACCAUCUUGGUAACGUUAGUCUUGCAAGCGUCAAAUUUAUUAGAACCAACUAGAGAAUAUUGCUACCAUAGCUUAAUUUGAUCCUUUGGGGAGGUAUCAAAAGAUUGAUCUAUCUCAACAUCAAUCAUUUUAUUGUUGAAGGUGAUAAUAUAUGCGCCGUUACCGCAAUCAAGCGGAAUUGGAAGACCACUUGAACAAUUUUCACAACAUCAUUAUUGUAGAUAUUUUGAAGGAUAUUUCAAAGUUUGAGUCAAUCUCUUCUCACUAAUACUUUUAGGAGGCAAUUUGGACGGCGGACUUUUGGCUAACUAGUGGACAAGUGUUGUGGCGUGGAGUAAUUAAGGUUUGGUUCUGUUCCGUUAUUUCCAUUCGUUUAAGGAAAAGUAACUCCAUGCAAGUUCAAUUGAAUUCAGAUAAGUUAGGUAAAAAUAAGGAAUUAAGGAUGAAUCAAGAACCAUUUAUACACGGAGUUCGGAGUAACUAAAAUUUAAUAAGUUUUAAUAAUUCAAUUAAAGAUAAGAUUAGAAGGGGGAAAAAGAUGAAAAUCAGGAAAUUGGAGUUAAAGACUGCAUUUGAACACUGACUUCAAGUCCACAUCUACAGUAUCUAAGAACAGAGGGAGUUAGUUAAAGCGAAAGAGAUAAAAAUGGAGGGAGUACACCAUAAUUCACAUCAUCAAUCGGAGCGAUAGUUAUGUACAAAUUCGGAGGUAGGCAAAUUGAAUCGGUCUACAAAUUCUUUGCAAGUUUGCAACCAUUGAUCUAAUUAAGAACAAUAAGAUGCCAGGUGACAAGGUGAUCCAGCCCACAAUCAGGUUAAUCAACAAGUUUUCCUUAAUAUUAAUGUGGUUACACAAAUUUUUAUUUACAUAGGGUGUGCGAUAAUUAUUGUAUACCGAAGUUAAAGUUAACGUAAAAUGGUUAAAAAUUA